rnacentral:rRNA from 1 species
UAGCUCACUGGUCGAGUCGGCCUGCGCGGAAGAUGUAACGGGGCUAAACUAUGCACCGAAGCUGCGGCAGCGAUAUGUAAAUAUUGUUGGGUAGGGGAGCGUUCUGUAAGCCUGUGAAGGUGUACUGCGAGGUAUGCUGGAGGUAUCAGAAGUGCGAAUGCUGACAUAAGUAACGAUAAUGCGGGUGAAAAACCCGCACGCCGGAAGACCAAGGGUUCCUGUCCAACGUUAAUCGGGGCAGGGUGAGUCGACCCCUAAGGCGAGGCAGAAAUGCGUAGUCGAUGGGAAACGGGUUAAUAUUCCCGUACUGGUGAUAAUUGCGAUGGGGGGACGGAGAAGGCUAGGCUAUCCGGGCGACGGUUGUCCCGGUUUAAGGAUGUAGGCAGGUGAAUUAGGCAAAUCCGGUUCACUAUAUGCUGAGGUCCGACGACGAGUCACUACGGUGAUGAAGUAGCUCAUGCCCCGCUUCCAGGAAAAGCCUCUAAGCUCUAGAUUAUCAUUAAUCGUACCCCAAACCGACACAGGUGGUCAGGUAGAGAAUACUCAGGCGCUUGA